rnacentral:rRNA from 1 species
GAUGAACGCUGGCGGCGUGCCUAAUACAUGCAAGUCGAGCGAACAGAUGAGGAGCUUGCUCCUCUGACGUUAGCGGCGGACGGGUGAGUAACACGUGGAUAACCUACCUAUAAGAAUGGGAUAACUUCGGGAAACCGGAGCUAAUACCGGAUAAUAUCUUGAAACGCAUGGUUUAAUAGUGAAAGACGGUUUUGCUGUCACUUAUAGAUGGAUCCGCGCCGCAUUAGCUAGUUGGUAAGGUAACGGCUUACCAAGGCAACGAUGCGUAGCCGACCUGAGAGGGUGAUCGGCUACACUGGAACUGAGACACGGUCCAGACUCCUACGGGAGGCAGCAGUAGGGAAUCUUCCGCAAUGGGCGAAAGCCUGACGGAGCAACGCCGCGUGAGUGAUGAAGGUCUUCGGAUCGUAAAACUCUGUUAUUAGGGAGGAACAAAUGUGUAAGUAACUAUGCACGUCUUGACGGUACCUAAUCAGAAAGCCACGGCUAACUACGUG